GAUGAACGCUGGCGGCGUGCCUAAUACAUGCAAGUCGAGCGAACAGACGAGGAGCUUGCUCCUCUGACGUUAGCGGCGGACGGGUGAGUAACACGUGGAUAACCUACCUAUAAGACUGGGAUAACUUCGGGAAACCGGAGCUAAUACCGGAUAAUAUAUUGAACCGCAUGGUUCAAUAGUGAAAGACGGUUUUGCUGUCACUUAUAGAUGGAUCCGCUCCGCAUUAGCUAGUUGGUAAGGUAACGGCUUACCAAGGCAACGAUGCGUAGCCGACCUGAGAGGGUGAGCGGCCACACUGGAACUGAGACACGGUCCAGACUCCUACGGGAGGCAGCAGUAGGGAAUCUUCCGCAAUGGGCGAAAGCCUGACGGAGCAACGCCGCGUGAGUGAUGAAGGUCUUCGGAUCGUAAAACUCUGUUAUUAGGGAAGAACAAAUGUGUAAGUAACUAUGCACGUCUUGACGGUACCUAAUCAGAAAGCCACGGCUAACUACGUG
rnacentral:rRNA from 1 species